GGUUGUCGUCAGCUCGUGUCGUGAGAUGUUGGGUUAAGUCCCGCAACGAGCGCAACCCUCGUUCUAUGUUGCCAGCACGUAAUGGUGGGAACUCAUGGGAUACUGCCGGGGUCAACUCGGAGGAAGGUGGGGAUGACGUCAAAUCAUCAUGCCCCUUAUGUCUUGGGCUUCACGCAUGCUACAAUGGCCGGUACAAAGGGCUGCAAUACCGUGAGGUGGAGCGAAUCCCAAAAAGCCGGUCCCAGUUCGGAUUGAGGUCUGCAACUCGACCUCAUGAAGUCGGAGUCGCUAGUAAUCGCAGAUCAGCAACGCUGCGGUGAAUACGUUCCCGGGUCUUGUACACACCGCCCGUCAAGUCAUGAAAGUCGGUAACACCUGAAGCCGGUGGCCUAACCCUUG
rnacentral:rRNA from 1 species